UCAAAAAUUAGAGGUGAUUUCCAGGCAUGUUUUCACUCUGCAGAUAUAAUAACAGUCAACAGACUCUUCUAUUGGCUCCAGUCACACCAACAUUGAUGUUUGAUUGUAUGCAAACUCAGUGAGCUUCCUUGUUCCUCAGCUAUAAAAACUUCACAUCAGGCUGUCAGUGGAGUUCACAGCACGUCAGUUUCAACAUCAACCAUGUUUUCUGUAGCUCUGCUGCUGCUGUUGGCAGCUGGAUGUGUGAAGUGUGAACAGUUGACACAGCCAGCCUCUGUGACUGUGCAGCCAGGUCAAAGUCUGAUCAUCACCUGUCAGGUCUCUUAUGAUGUUGACAGCUACUACACAGCUUGGAUCAGACAGCCUGCAGGGAAAGGACUGGAGUGGAUGAGUGUGGAUACAGACAUCAAAGAUUCUCUAAAAGACAAGUUCAGCGUUAACUUGGACUCCUUCAGCAACACAGUGACUCUAAAUGGACAGAAUGUGCAGCCUGAAGACUCUGCUGUGUAUUUCUGCGCCAGAAGAGACACAGUGAGAGACAACAAGAGGAGACUCAUACAAAAACUAGUUCCUCUAUUUACACCACUGGGAACAUUCAUGUCACAGCGUGCAUAGCAGACACAGAGGGCUGAACCCCAGAUUCAGAGUCAGACAGAGAGGCAGACAGGAGUAAUAAUAGUCAAAAGCAUACACUUACUGUGUCGUAAGGAUCAUGAAAAUUAGCUUUGUCAAGACAUGUAGACCAAAAUUCAAAAGCACAACCAAAACAAAACACAAGGCGUGACAGUUCAGUUGCGUCAGUAUCAAUUAAUUAAUUAAUGACAAUAUUAUAUCGUAUUAUUAUAAUUAUUAUUAUUAUUGGUCAAAUUUUCUAUAUCAGUGUGGUAAAACUGUGUUUAUUUGCCUUUUUUAAGUACAUACAUGAAGAUCAUGCAUCUGAUACUAAAAUUUACAUUUUGGCCAAAAAAAGAACUGAAACCAGCAGGAACGAUCUGCUGUGCUGCUUGGUUGAACAUGAAAGGGCAGCAAGUGAAGAUGUUUCUCUUCUCACAACAAGAUAUCAGUGAAAAUGUACAUGUUUAUUUGUUUGUUUGUUUGUUAUAAACAUGGCUGUGACACAAACUGAAGAAAUUUUU